rnacentral:rRNA from 1 species
GAUGAACGCUAGCGGCAGGCCUAACACAUGCAAGUCGAGGGGCAGCACAGAAACAGCAAUGUUUUGGUGGCGACCGGCGGACGGGUGCGUAACGCGUAUGCAACCUACCUUUAACAGGGGGAUAACGGAGAGAAAUUUCCACUAAUACCCCAUAACAUCGAUCAAGGCAUCUUGAUUGGUUGAAAACUCCGGUGGUUAAAGAUGGGCAUGCGUUGUAUUAGGUAGUUGGUGAGGUAAUGGCUCACCAAGCCUACGAUGCAUAGGGGGACUGAGGGGUUAGCCCCCCACACUGGUACUGAGACACGGACCAGACUCCUACGGGAGGCAGCAGUGAGGAAUAUUGGUCAAUGGGGGCAACCCUGAACCAGCCAUGCCGCGUGCAGGAAGACGGCUCUAUGAGUUGUAAACUGCUUUUAAACAGGGAUAAAGCACAGUAUGUAUACUGUGUUGAAGGUACUGUAAGAAUAAGGAUCGGCUAACUCCGUGCCAGCAGCCGCCGUAA